GAUGAACGCUGGCGGCGUACUUAACACAUGCAAGUCGAACGAGAAGUGGAGACGGAAACCUUCGGGCGGAAGACUUUACUUCGAGUGGCGGACGGGUGAGUAACGCGUGGGUAACCUGCCUCAUACAGGUGGAUAACAGUUGGAAACGACUGUUAAUACCGCAGAAGACCACAGCAACGCAUGGUGCGGGGGUAAAAACUCCGGUGGCAUGAGAUGGACCCGCGUUCGAUUAGCCAGUUGGCGUGGUAACGGCCCACCAAAGCGACGAUCGAUAGCCGGACUGAGAGGAUGACCGGCGACAUUGGGACUGAGACACGGCCCAAACUCCUACGGGAGGCAGCAGUGGGGAAUAUAGCACAAUGGGGGAAACGCUGAUGCAGCGACGCCGCGUGAGUGAAGAAGUAUUUCGGUAUGUAAAGCUCUAGCAGCAGGGAAGAAAAUGACGGUACCUGAGUAAGAAGCCCCGGCUAACUACGUG
rnacentral:rRNA from 1 species